rnacentral:rRNA from 1 species
GGGGGGAAAUUAAUUAUAUUGAGUUAAUAAAAGUAAUUUUAAUGUUAAAAUAUUUAAUGGGGGUUAAAGUAUUUUAAUAGAAAAAAUUAUAAAUUUUAUAGUGAAUGAGUAUUGUGGGGGAAUUUUGAAAUAUAUUAAAUAGAAAUUUUUGUAAAAGUAAAUUUAAUUUAUUGUAUCUUGUGUAUCAGAGUUUAUUAAUUAAUUUUUCUGGGGGGAAAAUUCUCGAAUUUAAAAGAGAUAAUUAAUUAAUAGAGUUAUUGUGGCAAAAAUAUUUUUAAUAGUUAAUUGGAAAUGAAAUGUUAAUCGUUUUUAAAUAUAUCUAGUUUUUUUAGAAAAAAGUUUAAUUUUAAAUUUUUAUUUAAAAAUAAUAAUUAUUUAAUUAUUUUUUAAUUAAAAGUUUUAUAUUUUAGGGGAUAAGCUUUAAAUUAAAUUUUUAUAAUUAUUAUUAAAGUAUAAUUGAAAAUUUUAUAAUUUUUAUUGUUAAUAAAUUUUAAUUUAUUAUAAAUAAUUUCAUUUAAUUUUAAAAUUUAAUAUUUAAUUUAUAUUUUUAUAAAAAAUUAAUUUUUAUUGUGAAAAAAUUAGUUAUAAUGAUAAAAUUAGUAUAUAAAUUUAAUUAUUUAGUGAAUAUUUUUAAUAAAAUUAAUAAAAAGGAAUUCGGCAAAAAUUUAUAUUCACUUGUUUAUCAAAAACAUGUCUUUUUGUUAAUAAUUUAAAGUCUAAUCUGCCCACUGAUAUAAAUUAAAGGGCUGCAGUAUUUUGACUGUACAAAGGUAGCAUAAUCAAUAGUCAUUUAAUUGGUGACUUGUAUGAAAGAUUGGAUGAGAUAUAUACUGUCUUUUUAUUAAAUUAUAGAAUUUAAUUUUUUAAUUAAAAAGUUAAAAUAAGUUAAAAAGACGAGAAGACCCUAUAGAGUUUAAUAUAGAUGUAAUUUGAUUUUAUUUGUAAAUUUUAUAUUGAAAUUUAUUUUUAAUAUUUUGUUGGGGUGACAAAAAAAUAGAAAUAACUUUUUUUAAUUUAUUAACAUAAAUAAGUGAUUAAUUGAUCCAGUUUUAUUGAUUAAAAGAAAAAAUUACCUUAGGGAUAACAGCGUAAUUUUUUUUUUUAGUUCGAAUAAAAAAAAGAGUUUGCGACCUCGAUGUUGGAUUAAGAUAAAAUUUAAAUGUAGAAGUUUAAAAUUUUGAUCUGUUCGAUCAUUAAAAUCUUACAUGAUCUGAGUUCAAACCGGUGUGAGCCAGGUUGGUUUCUAUCUUUUAAAUUAAAAAAUAUUUUAGUACGAAAGGAAUUAAUAUUUAAAUUAAAUUUUUUUUUAUGAAUAUUAAAAAAAAUUAGUUAAAAUUAAUAAUUUUAGACUAUUUUGGCAGAGAAAAUGUAAU